UCAAGCCUCGUAGAUUGGAUCUGCUAGAAACUGGGGCCAAUUAAGAGACUGCUCCCUGAUGCCCACAGGAAAGCACCUUCAGGGCCUGAAACCUAGGCUGUUUGGAGGUGGCAGGUCACCAACCAAAACACUAUCAGAAGCAAGUGACUUCUAGACCCUGAACCUGUGAGCCUUAAAUCUCUCGUGGCUAGUUCACGAAGCCCAGUUCACCUGCCCUCUCCUCCAAAUCAGUGUGGAUCCCAUUAAUCUUCACGGUCACUUGUGUCAGUUGCUUGUGCUCAAAAGCGGUGUAGCUGCUGAUGUGUGAGCAGGAGGGGCUGGCCUACGGCAACCCACUGGGAGAGUCAACACCUGCCCGACCUCAGGAACACGAUAUUGCCAGGCUGUGAUUUUGCUUCCACCCUCCUCUUGGCUGCCUAGCAUCGUGGUUCAAUGGGAGCCACUUCAUUCUGACUACAUCAUGCCCGGCACCCACUGCUGUCAUCUUCCAGCAAUCACUGCCCUCACAGAGCUUCAAUGUGCCCCCAGAAGCUCUUCAAAGACAGCUGAGGACCAUUCUUCGUUUGAAGAUGCAGAAAAGUACAUAAAACCUAAGUGCACAGAUAAGUAGAUUAACAUCAGCAGCAGGUCAAGCAACGGCACAUAGAAGCAUCUUAGAAGCCUCCUGUGUGUCCUUUCUUGACCACAAUCAAGAACCUGGAGACCCUGUGGGUUUGUACCUAUUGUCUUGUCUUUCUACUCAUUCUCACCCAUGCUAUCUUGCCUCCUCAUAUGUCCGGUUAUCUUUGUGUGCUGGAUGCUUUAUUAAAAAGUUACUUAUAAAAAUAA